rnacentral:rRNA from 1 species
AUUGAACGCUGGCGGAAUGCUUUACACAUGCAAGUCGAACGGCAGCACGGACUUCGGUCUGGUGGCGAGUGGCGAACGGGUGAGUAAUGUAUCGAAACGUGCCCAGUCGCGGGGGAUAACGUAGUGAAAAUUACGCUAAUACCGCAUACGAUCUAUGGAUGAAAGCGGGGGAUCGCAAGACCUCGCGCGAUUGGAGCGGCCGAUAUCAGAUUAGGUAGUUGGAGGGGUAAAGGCCCACCAAGCCAACGAUCUGUAGCUGGUCUGAGAGGACGAGCAGCAACACUGGAAUUGAGACACGGUCCAGAGUACAAAGUGAGGCAGAAGUAGGGAAUGUUGAGCAAGGGGCGAAAGCCUGAUCCAGCCAUUCCGUGUGCAGGAUGAAGGGCCUCGGGUUGUAAACUGCUUUUGUACAGAACAAAGAGGUUUCUACUAAUACUAGGCGCUCAUGCCGGUACUGUAAGAAUAAGCACCGGCUAACUACGUGCGAGCCGCCGCCGUAA